UAUAAAAAUUUACUUAUAGUUUUUAAAAAAUUAAAAAUAAAUAAAUGACUAAAUUUUCUACAUCGGCUGCCAUCGCCGCUACACCAGACCAGACAUUAGCCUUUCUAUCCCAUCCCCUGUCUCUCAUCCCAGCAAACAUAAAAAAAAUUACAGAGAGCAGAGAUCCAUGAUAAUGACGCCUUGUACUUUGAGGAGCUUCUGCUUCCACCUUCAACUGCUGAGGCCAUUAAGAUUUUUCACCAUUCAAUCUCCAACCCUAUUCUUUCCCUAUUCUUUCCGGUCUUCUACUCCUACUUUCACUGCCACACCUCAAGAUGGACGUUUCUUCAUAUGAAUUAUUGAUGAAACAUAGCCUUGAGAAAAACUGGGACAUAAAGGAAGUUCUUCUAUCUCUGUUGUGUCUUCUUUUCCAUGAAUUUGAAAAAUAUUAUGGUAAUUUCCAUCAAUUUAAUGCUAUUCUUUAGGAUCGCUGUACAAGUUCAUUAACUAUUUUGGUUGAUUUUUAGACUGCUGGUUGGACGAGUAUAGUUUUGUAAACAGUGAAAAGGUUUCCACUUAUUGAUAUUUUUGCUUCUAAUCAAUACGACUUAUUGUUGUUUAUUGAUAAUGAUCAUACUCAUCACGCCUUGUGCUUCAGGGUGCUGGGCAUCCAGUCCUUGAGUACACUACAAGAAGGUGGUCUUUCUCGGCAGUUUUUUUUUCCAAGGCUAGGGACGGUUUAAACUGCCUCUACAUUUCCUGGUGGUGGUUCUUGGAAUUGCCUCACAACUGACUCCAUAGUCACCAUCUGUACGACACAGUGGCACUUUUGGCAACUGUAAGAUGGGCCAUGCCAUCGAGGCGGUGGAGUAGAGACGGUUUAAACUGCCACUAAAGUUAGAAUAGAGGCUGUUUUACGAGCCCCAGUGUUAUGUUGUAGUUAUUGAGAAUUCAAUCUAUUUCAAUACUAGUGCAAUUACAAUGCACCUUGUUGGUAGGUUUUGAUUUAUGCAAGAUACGGUUUAGGACUUGCACUCGUGCUUUUAGGUUGCUUGUGCACAUUAACAUCAGGGAAUCUGUUUUAAUACUACAUUGUUCUGAAAGCGUAAAGUAACUCUAGUUUGAGAAAA